AUUGAACGCUGGCGGCAUGCCUUACACAUGCAAGUCGAACGGCAUCGCGGGAAAGCUUGCUUUCCUGGCGGCGAGUGGCGAACGGGUGAGUCACACAUCGGAACGUACCGGCUAGUGGGGGAUAACCCGUCGAAAGACGGGCUACUACCGCAUACGCUCUUCGGCGGAAAGCCGGGGACCUUUGGGCCUUGCGCUAGUCGAGCGGCCGAUGUCCGAUUAGCUAGUUGGUGGGGUAAAGGCCUACCAAGGCGACGAUCGGUAGCGGGUCUGAGAGGACGAUCGGCCACACUGGGACUGAGACACGGCCCAGACUCCUACGGGAGGCAGCAGUGGGGAAUCUUGGACAAUGGGGGCAACCCUGAUCCAGCAAUGCCGCGUGGGUGAAGAAGGCCUUCGGGUUGUAAAGCCCGUUCGGCAGGGAAGAAAUCGGCGGGGCGAAUAACCCUGCUGGAUGACGGUACCUGCAGAAGAAGCACCGGCUAACUACGUG
rnacentral:rRNA from 1 species